rnacentral:tRNA from 1 species
GGGCCGUUAGCUCAAUCGGCAGAGCAGGGGACUUUUAAUCCCAAGGUUCCGGGUUCGACCCCCGGGCGGCCCACCA